CGCCUCCUGGUGAACGGCGAGGGAGGAGAAGGUGGAGCGAAGGUUGAGAGGGACCUUGGUGGAUGCUCGGCCGAGACACCCACAUUGGCAGUGGCACCACCUCCCGGGAUGAUCGCCCCGCGGCCCGGAGCGUCUGCUCAGGGAAUCUCGGCGGGACGAGGAGCCGCGUCCAGCCGCUCGAGUUCGGAGAGGCCGCAGCCCGGGAGGGAGCUGCCAGGCGUGUCGAUUUACCUGCCAGCAACUACAGAAAAAUAAUGACAAAUACCAGUGUGUUCUGUCAACAAACCAGCAUCAAUCUGAGGAGAUUGCGAUGUCCUAGUUCUAUGUUGCUAUGCUUGAGAGUUUUGACUCCUAGAAUGCCAGCCUAGUGGAAAAGUUUCUGGUGAAGGUAUUUGGGUGCAAGCUCUGCCAGUUCACAAGUGGCAUCAAAAGUAAAAUCAGGACACAACUGGCUUACAUGCAUGAAACAGAUGCAGAGUGUCGAAUUUCAGGCUAUCUUAAAAUGGAUCAAGAUGAAAAUGAAUUGUAUAGCUUGGAACAUUAAGCUAACCAAGAAAACAGAGAAGAAAAUCUUGAAAAAAAUCUCUGCCUUACUACCUAUGUGUCACAUGCUUCCAAAUGAGCCCUCACUGAUGCGACAUGAGCCCAGUCAGAGCAGUAAUCCUCAUGCAGCUUACUCCUGUGAACAUCUUGUUUGGAGAAGCAGCAGCAGCAGCUCCUUUGUGGUUUGAGGAGCCUUGUUCUGUAGUGCCAGCUUCUUUUUUGUAUUCCAAGAGCAAAGGCCAAGAAGAAGCUCAACCUGUGCAUCUUGGCUUUGGUUGUGUUUCCAAUGUUAGACCUCAGACCUUAGCUGCAAAGAUAAAUACCCCCUAAAAAUGAAUCAAGGAGUAAAAAUUACAAAAAUCAUAAGAAAGCUAGAUGUGGUUCCAAAGGGUUAGCUGUGAAAGAUGCUUGCACUUGAAAACAGUAUUUUUGCAAUGUGUGCAAUAUAGCACCUUCUGAAGUCGAAAGGUGCUCAUAAACUAUGUGAAAAGGAUCAUGAUGUGGAUCAUGGCUUUAAAUGUAUUUAUUAUCACGACUGAGUUGGGACUUAAUGGACAAAUCAUUUAGAAUCACACAAGCAGGUAAAAGAAACCUAAUGCCUCAUCUGUGAAAGUGGUUUUAUAUCAUAAAGUGCCAGGGAAGAGCACAGAAACAACCACCAGAGGAAACCUCAUCUCUUUCAGUGCACAAUAUGUUCAUCAUCUUCUCAAACUGAGCAGAUAAUACAUCUUCCUGUAAAUUGCUGCUAUCAAGAUGUGCUUACAUGUCCAUACUGUGAUUUUACCAGUGCUGUGACAUUUAGACCAUUUAUAGUCACUGUCUUGAGCCCCAUCAUGACAUCCUAUCAUCUUCUGUGUUGAUGGUGAUGUAUUCACCACCAGAACAUGCUGCAGAAGCUGGUGUGCACUGAAUGGAAGGGCAGUUUACUUAUUUCUUAAUGGGCAAUCCAAAGAAGAAUGGAAAGAACAUACGGAAAAUCACAAAACUUCUACAGCCUUUCUGUCUUCCUUUUGAGGAUCAAGUAUUCAAAAUCAGACAUCAGAUAAAUGAACACCACAAACAAGUCCAUCAGAAAAAUAAAACGAACGAGAGACAAGAAAGUAAUCCUGUGUGUUCUAUCAGAAAAGCAACUGGAAAGAAAGAUCUGAUUUCCGUGCA